GAGGCUUGAGGUCCUUGGUGGGUUGCGCCAGAGCUUGCUUGCGGGGUGCCAGCAGGGGUGGGGGGGGCUGCAGUCCUCGAGCUGGACACAUCAGCUCUGGGUAAAGAGACCUGUAUCGACAUCCCCCUUCUCCCCGACGGCAGAGACAGAACUUCUGUCACAGCAGAAGGUUCCUGCGCAUUUCGUAGCUCUGAACGGGAACAGAAUGAACAUCAACCUCAGGACAGGACCUGAGGUGAGAGCUCAGUGAGGGAUGCUGGGAUACUCUGGGGGGGGGGGCAGCUCCUAGAGUGUCCGGCCCUGUUUGGAGUCGGACCUCGCUGGUCUGCCUAAUGUCUCCUGGCACGUCCCCAUUCUUCUCUCCUGUGCCCCACGCUGCAGAGGACAAGCUGUAUCGAGGCUGUCUCCCAAAACAAGGGCAGCUUCCCCGGCUUGACAAACGUCAGUGAGGUGGUGACAGACCAGUUCCUAUGUAGCGGGAUGGAGGGAGAUGACAGUCCUUGCAAAGGUUAGUCUGGUCCCGGACUUCCAGGGAGAAAGAAGGCUGUGGUGUCCCCGUGGUCAGCACUCACUCUGAAUACUAACUAGUGUGCUGUCCUGGACAAUGCCGCCCUUUCUUUC
rnacentral:lncRNA from 1 species